rfam:Myotis lucifugus cont2.29441, whole genome shotgun sequence.
GGAGGUUCUCAGGUGAUGCACCCCAGAAUCGGGCUCCCUCCUCUCUGGUUCUGGGUGCGUCACGGGAGAACUGCA